GGUCGACGCGGCUCGCGCAUAGCCCCGGCACGGUUCGAAGUGAGCGCAUUGCUGUCGACUAACUUAAACGCGCAGUGCACGAUUACGAACUUUUGUGUUAUCUGUGCUAAGAAAUGGAUAUUCUCACCUUGGACCCCACUGGACUGUAUUAAUUACGUAAAAUGGACGUGCGCACACUCGACCCGACCGGUCAAUAUUGACGAUGGCCAGGAGUUUGGACCCUACCGGUGUGUAUUGAACUUUCUUAUUAGAAUCUCACCAGAAUGGAAGUAUUGGAUCCUACCGGACAAUAUUAACUCUCAAAAUGAUCGGGCUAGACCCAACGGAAAUCUAUUGAAUUUCUUCACUUAAAUCAAGAUGUGUUGCGGAAGACGAAAAAUAUCGACAGGCACACGUCCGGAAGAAACCUCGUCCUGCAGAAAGAGGAGGUUUAGGAGUGUAAUUUAAUUGGCUGCUCGAUAACAACGACUGUAAAUAGUACUAAUAUAAUGAAGGCGGACGAAUUGACAAGGUCAUCGGUUGGAAAUCAGCUGACAGCGAUGCAAGCAGGAAGUACAUUCAGCAAAAGAUGGCUCGUAGAACAUUUUCAAAUUUAGAACGCGUUCGACAGAUGCAUACCAUUUAUCGGAGAUGCUACAGUUUUCCGCUAUGCGCACAUCGUCUGAAUCUUCAACGACAAAAGACUUGGAAGUUUAUAUAUAACCUCCGUAGUUCUUGCGUCGAUUUCUAUAAUCUAUGACCAAUCAAUUUCGUGUUAAAUACUCAUUAGUAUAUAAGUUGCUGUCGACUGAUCGUUCUUUCGUUAACUGCACAUAUCUUUCAUGCAUUUGUAUUUACAUAAAUUAUUUUUAAAUUAAAUUUAGUUGUAAGGUUGGUGCAUUUUCGCUAACGAAAUUAAGUUUUAUAAUUUUGAGAUUGACAUUUUGUCAGUGAAGUGACAUCGCGUAGGCUAAGCCUAAGACAAGCAUACAGAGGCAAGGGUUUUUUGAAUGGUUUUCCUCAUAUAUAUUGUACAUUUCCCGAGAAACCUUCAAAAUUUACCAUAUAUAAAAGAAUAUAUUAGAGUUAAGAUUGUAUGACCCCUCUAUUAACAUUUCGCGUAAAUUGAGUUACCAUUUUGCUUUGGCUAUUGUAAAUAAAAUGCUUGUGCGUAAUUCUUAUUUUGGACUGAAAUAUAGCUUUUUUAUUGAGUUUUAUGAAUUCAGUGUUGCCAAUUAAGACUGAAUGGGAACUAAAUAUGUUAUCUUAAAGGCUAAAUCUUUCGGCUACUUCCCAUCCUAGGAUAACUAGAUUAUUUAUUUUUAUCUAAAACUGACAUUGAUUUUUAUUUAGUCUAAAUCUAAAUAAACUACAACUUGGUGUAUCUAAGUUUUGUAUCACAUUGUAUGUAUGUUAACUGUUAUUGACUUUACGUAUUAAUUAAGUAUGUAAUGUAAUAAAUAUGUAUACAAUA